rnacentral:ncRNA from 1 species
GUGUCAUAGGAAGGAGUAAAGAUAGACUCUCAACAAGGAUGGAAGAGGCUCUUGUAGACCUUACAGCACAUAGACGGUUAAGGCAUUGCUAUCUACUCAUGGUUUCAGUUUUUA